CGCAGAGGUUGGCCACAGCUUGGCUAAACAGAUGUGCUGUUUGUGUGGUGUCGGACCUCAGCUGCAGCCAUAUAUUUGUAGACAGCCAAGGAGGUUUGGUUGUUACUGGAGCCAUCCGAACCUGUAUCUGAUCCUUCAUUGAUAUUUGGUUUGCAUUAUAUAAGAAUGUCAUCCAUCAUCACCAUGUUU